AUUGAACGCUGGCGGCAGGCUUAACACAUGCAAGUCGAGCGAGAGGCGGACGGGUCAGUAAUGUCUGGGACACUGCCUGAUGGAGGGGGAUAACUACUGGAAACGGUAGCUAAUAACGCAUACUAUCAGAUGUGCCCAGAUGGGAUUAGCUAGUAGGUGGGGUAAUGGCUCACCUAGGUGACGAUCCCUAGCUGGUCGGAGAGGAUGACCAGCCACACUGGAACUGUGACACGGACCAGACACCUACGGGAGGGAGCAAUGGGGAAUAUUGCACAAUGGGCGCUAGCCUGGUGCAGCAGUGCAGCGUGUGUGAAGAAGGCCUUCGGGUUGUAAAGCACUUUCAGCGAGGAGGCGUUACUCGCAGAAGAAGCACCGGCUAACUCCGUGCCAGCAGCCGCGGUAAUUC
rnacentral:rRNA from 1 species